GAGAAGUUAGAACAAAUAUAUAAGCAGAGAUUACAAAGAAAUUCUGAAGUUAGGAAGAAGUUAGGAAGGUAUAAUGAAAUAUAGUAAAUAAUGAAGUUUACUAAAAAAAAAAAAUGGCGUAAUUAAUAUAAGAUGAGAGUACAUAAAUAAUAAGUUAGAGAAGACAAAAUGAAAUUGAAUAUUGUAGAGAAAAAGACAGUUUGAGUUAAUAAAUGAAUAUGAACCAGUUAGGAAGGUUAAAAGGAAGAAAACAAGGCACCAGUUAGGGUUGGUGUGGGGUGGGGUGGGCACCAGAUGUCGCUUCAAGAGGGGGUGACCUGGUUUGUGUCACCCCCGCCAGAAGACUUGACCCCGGCCGCCGUGUCAGGUCAAACUGGGUCACAGAGGCGUAGGGUCAUGUAACAGGCUCAAAAGGUCAAAGUGAUUUAGGUCAUGGUGGAAUCUGGAGGUCAUAAUCGAGGUUGGUUAGGUUAGGUUAAGUUAGCUGAGGUCACAGUGGAGAGAGAUGUGGUAAGCUAGGUCAAAUUAGGUUAGGUUAGGUUAGCUGAGGUCACAGUGGAGAGAAAUGUGUUAAGUUAGGUCAAACUAGGUCAGAACAUAGUGUAGUUCAUUAGCGGUACAUUAGGUUAGGUGAGGUCAAGGAGGUGAGGAGGAAAUGAGUGUAGAUGAAGUUAGGUUAGGUUAGCUCAGGUCACAGUUAGGUCAAACUAGGUCAGAACAUAGUGCAGUUCAUUAGCGGUACAUUAGGUUAGGUGAGGUCAAGGAGGUGAGGGGGGAAAUGAGUGUAGAUGAAGUUAGGUUAGGUUAGCUCAGGUCACAGUUAGGUCAAAUUAGGUCGAAACAUAGUGCAGUUCAUUAGCGGUACAUUAGGUUAGGUGAGAUCAAGGAGGUGAGGGAAAAAUGAGUGUAGAUGAAGUUAGGUUAGGUUAGCUCAGGUCACAGUGGGGUCAAACUAGGUCAGAACAUAGUGCAGUUCAUUAGCGGUACAUUAGGUUAGGUGAGGUCAAGGAGGUGAGGG